ACGCCACAGGACACUUGAAGGCCAGCUUGUCUUUCAAUUGCUCCACAUCUCUCUCCAUGUCCUCAAGGUCAAAUUCCUUGGCUUUAUUUUUUCCAAUCAUUCCCCGUUCUCAACUGCGUUUCCACGCCCUGCUUUGGUCUCGGUUCACUCCCUCUUGUCUUUUCGCUUCUUCUUGGUGGCGUCCCCCUUCAGUUCUCAUAUCCUUUUUUGUGUGUGUUUCAGUUUCUUCUCUAUUCUAGUGUCAACCAUGUUGUGACUGAGCUAAAAUCUGGAAACACCUGAACAAGUUGUAUGAUGCAUGAGAGCCUGACAGCGACUGCUCAAGGGUGACCAGGUGGAAUAAAUAACCUAUCAUGUGACUCGUCCCUGGAGAAGACUGAUUUUCCCUUUCAGGAACCAUCAACUGUCUGUCACUAUUCAUCUAGAGUGUACUUUGUCUGUGUCUUUGUUCAGACUUUCCCAGAAGCAAACCCUGAGG